rnacentral:rRNA from 1 species
UACGAAGGGGGCUAGCGUUGCUCGGAAUUACUGGGCGUAAAGGGCGCGUAGGCGGAUAGUUUAGUCAGAGGUGAAAGCCCAGGGCUCAACCUUGGAAUUGCCUUUGAUACUGGCUAUCUUGAGUUCGGGAGAGGUGAGUGGAAUGCCGAGUGUAGAGGUGAAAUUCGUAGAUAUCGAGAGGAACACCAGUGGCGAAGGCGAGUCCCUGGACAACACCUGACACUGAGGCACGAAAGCUAGGGGAGCAAACAGG